AACAGGAUUAGAUACCCUGGUAGUCCACGCUGUAAACGAUGUCGACUUGGAGGUUGUGCCCUUGAGGCGUGGCUUCCGGAGCCAACGCGUUAAGUCGACCGCCUGGGGAGUACGGCCGCAAGGUUAAAACUCAAAUGAAUUGACGGGGGCCCGCACAAGCGGUGGAGCAUGUGGUUUAAUUCGAUGCAACGCGAAGAACCUUACCUACUCUUGACAUCCAGAGAAUUUGCUAGAGAUAGCUUAGUGCCUUCGGGAACUCUGAGACAGGUGCUGCAUGGCUGUCGUCAGCUCGUGUUGUGAAAUGUUGGGUUAAGUCCCGCAACGAGCGCAACCCUUAUCCUUUGUUGCCAGCACGUAAUGGUGGGAACUCAAAGGAGACUGCCGGUGAUAAACCGGAGGAAGGUGGGGAUGACGUCAAGUCAUCAUGGCCCUUACGAGUAGGGCUACACACGUACUACAAUGGCAUAUACAAAGAGAAGCGAACUCGCGAGAGCAAGCGGACCUCAUAAAGUACGUCGUAGUCCGGAUUGGAGUCUGCAACCCGACUCCAUGAAGUCGGAAUCGCUAGUAAUCGUAGAUCAGAAUGCUACGGUGAAUACGUUCCCGGGCCUUGUACACACCGCCCGUCACACCAUGGGAGUGGGUUGCAAAAGAAGUAGGUAGCUUAACCUUCGGGAGGGCGCUUACCACUUUGUGAUUCAUGACUGGGGUGAAGUCGUAACAAGGUAACC
rnacentral:rRNA from 1 species